rnacentral:rRNA from 1 species
UACGGAGGGUGCAAGCGUUAAUCGGAAUUACUGGGCGUAAAGCGUGCGCAGGCGGUGAUGUAAGACAGAUGUGAAAUCCCCGGGCUCAACCUGGGAACUGCAUUUGUGACUGCACGGCUGGAGUGCGGCAGAGGGGGGAUGGAAUUCCGCGUGUAGCAGUGAAAUGCGUAGAUAUGCGGAGGAACACCGAUGGCGAAGGCAAUCCCCUGGGCCUGCACUGACGCUCAUGCACGAAAGCGUGGGGAGCAAACAGG